CAUAUUGAGAACAGCAAAGACAACUGAGAGCCUCAACCAUGCUAAUAAUCUCCAGGAAAUGGAGAGGUCUAAGCUUGUGUUGUGUUUCAAAAUACCUCUGGCUCUGAUGAUUACAUGGACAAAAUUGUUUUUAUACUGUCCUGUCUCAGCAGUCAGAGGGCAUUAAACCACGUAUGGAUGUAACAGACUAGUUCUUUCAACUGUAUCAAGCUGGUACUGUGAGCAGAGCAACAAACUGAAUGAAAUCAGGAGUUAAUUUUCCCUACCAAAGGACCAGUGAUAAAUGGAAAUAAAAAUAUGGGUA